rnacentral:misc_RNA from 1 species
GCAAACUUGGUCAUUUAGAGGAAGUAAAAGUCGUAACAAGGUCUCCGUUGGUGAACCAGCGGAGGGAUCAUUACCGAGUUUUCAACUCCCAAACCCACUGUGAACCUGUACCUUUCGUCGUUGCUUCGGCGGGCCUCCGCCGCCCCAGGACACUGGAGCGGUGCGCCCGCCGGGGGACCCAAACUCUUGUAUUUCUUACCUACGGCAUGUCUGAGUGGAAUCAUACAGAAUGAAUCAAAACUUUCAACAACGGAUCUCUUGGUUCUGGCAUCGAUGAAGAACGCAGC